UACGUAGGUGGCAAGCGUUGUCCGGAUUUACUGGGCGUAAAGAGCGCGUAGGCGGCACGGUACGACCGGUGUGAAAGCCCCCGGCUCAACUGGGGAGGGUCACCGGUAACGGCCGAGCUAUGAGUGCAGGAGAGGGAAGUGGAACUCCGGGAGUAGCGGUGAAAUGCGUAGAGACCCGGAGGAACACCAGUGGCGAAGGCGGCUUCCUGGUCUGCAACUGACGCUGUGGCGCGAAAGCUAGGGGAGCAAACGGG
rnacentral:rRNA from 1 species